ensembl:lncRNA
GAGAGAGAGACAGACCUCAGUGCAGCUCAUGUUAACUUUAUUGUUGAGGUGCGACAGGUAUUGAUCGCAAAUAUCUUCAGUGUUCGGAAAUACAGAGCAACUAUGAAGCCAAUACUAUAGAGUGCUGCGGUGAUGAGCGCUUAAACCCAGAACUGAGUUAGCAUUCUAGCACUUCCUGUUCCACAAGCUCGAGAUAACUUGUGGGACUACUACAAACGGGACCACAGAGGUCGUCGGGAACGUUAAGCGUCAUCACGCCGAACAGGAAAACUCAUCUGCUACAGCCUCGUUGUGUUUACUCACGCUCUUGUAAAUGGGUUACUGAUCAAAGGCUCCGGGUUACUGAUCAGAAGGUCAGGUGUUCAAGCCCCAGCACUGUCAAGCUACCACUGUUGGGCCCUUGGGCAAGGCUCUUAACCCUCUCUGCUGAUUUGUAUAAAUGAGAUAAAUGUAAGUCGCUCUGGAUAAGGGCGUCUGCCAAAUGCCAUAAAAAUGUAAAUGUAAUGUAAAUGGACAUGGCCCGGAGUUUUCAAACGAAAACGUGGUCUUCAGCGUUUCCAAAAGUCUCCGUUUUCGGACGUUGAAGUCAUACGACGGCGGCGUAGUUCGUUUAGAGCCUAACUUCAGCUUUUGACUUCCGCACUCUAUAAUGGACUGGACACACGAUGAGACGUCACGCAAUGUCCAGUCUGUAAGGUCGCGUGUCCAUUCUGUGAAGUCAUCGUCAUCCUGUGUUCAUUUCCUAAUGCUGUUUUGAAUCUACUCUAUAAUGUCAUUGUGUCUAUCCUGUAUACAUCCUAUAAUGCCAUCCUGUGUCCGUUCG